UCCGCUCCAUCCAGAGCUCUUGGCCCUUCCGAAAUGGCGUCUAUUCCUUUGGGACGAAGGAUCCCUUGGGACAGGAAAGGCAAACAACCGCACACUCGUAGGCAGGGCGUUCGGCAGGAAGGCGGAGGCYGCUCCAGUGCGAUGGGCGGCGCUGAGCUGAGCU